GUUCUCCCCUGAUGAUGGAAAUGGUGAAUUUCCGAAGCGUUGGGAUGUUCUAUUUUACUUUUUAAAACUAAAAUAUGGGAAAUAUACAAACCCACAGACAAGAAGAAGAAAUAGAAGUCGACACGGAAGAAAAUAAGAAACAACAUCAAAAAGAUGAUAAGAGCGUGAAGUCAGGCACGUUGAUAGUUUAUUUAUAAAUAGAUGCCCGAGAAAGGGAGAGAGAGAGAAGAUGCAGGAGGAGGCACCAGCAAGGAAUCUUACAAAAAUAUACAAACCCAUGGGCAAGAAGAAAAAAUAGAAGAUGAUACAGAUGAAAAUGAGAUACAAAAUCAGAGAUGAAGAUGAGAGCUUGGACUCAGACACAUUGAUGGUAUUUUCUCAAAUAGAUGUGCGAGAAAGAGAGAUAAGAACAACAUGAAGGAGAAUGUCCGAGUAACGUAUACGCAUUACCUAUAAUACAGAUUGGACAAGAAAGAAGUAAAGAGCGAAAUGAGGAAAAUGAAGACGAGGAAGCAGCAGCAGAAAGAGCAAAAACAAUCCAAGUUCUUCUGCCUGGAAAUCGUCUUAAGAUUAUUUCAAGGACGAAAUGUAUAUGCCACAUUUUCAAGUUUAAGGACACAGUUUAAUUCUGAUUAUUAAAAAUAUCGAUAACUUGUGCUUACCAUGUGCAAUAGUUGCUGUAAUUUGCAC